CCUACGGGUGGCAGCAGUGGGGAAUAUUGGACAAUGGGCGAAAGCCUGAUCCAGCCAUGCCGCGUGUGUGAAGAAGGCCUUCGGGUUGUAAAGCACUUUCAGUGGGGAAGAAAGCCUUGGGGCUAAUACCCUCGAGGAAGGACAUCACCCACAGAAGAGGCACCGGCUAACUCCGUGCCAGCAGCCGCGGUAAUACGGAGGGUGCGAGCGUUAAUCGGAAUUACUGGGCGUAAAGCGCGCGUAGGCGGUCUGAUAAGCCGGUUGUGAAAGCCCCGGGCUCAACCUGGGAACGGCAUCCGGAACUGUCAGGCUAGAGUGCAGGAGAGGAAGGUAGAAUUCCCGGUGUAGCGGUGAAAUGCGUAGAGAUCGGGAGGAAUACCAGUGGCGAAGGCGGCCUUCUGGACUGACACUGACGCUGAGGUGCGAAAGCGUGGGUAGCAAACAGGAUUAGAUACCCUAGUAGUC
rnacentral:rRNA from 1 species